rnacentral:rRNA from 1 species
GUGAGGAAUAUUGCACAAUGGACGAAAGUCUGAUGCAGCGACGCCGCGUGGGUGAUGAAGGCCCUCGGGUCGUAAAACCCUUUUGGCAGGGACGAGUGAGGACGGUACCUGCAGAAUAAGUCUCGGCUAACUACGUGCCAGCAGCCGCGGUAAAACGUAGGAGGCGAGCGUUAUCCGGAUUUACUGGGCGUAAAGCGCGCGUAGGCGGUCGGGUAAGUCAGAUGUUAAAGCCCCUGGCUCAACUGGGGGAGGUCAUUUGAUACUGCUCGGCUUGAGGGUGAGAGAGGAGAGCGGAAUUCCCGGUGUAGCGGUGGAAUGCGUAGAGAUCGGGAGGAACACCAGUGGCGAAAGCGGCUCUCUGGCUCAUCUCUGACGCUGAGUGCGCGAAAGCGUGGGGAGCAAACGGGAUUAGAAACCCGGGUAGUCC